rnacentral:rRNA from 1 species
CGUGUAGGCGGGCUUUCAAGUCGGUUGUGAAAUCCCUCAGCUCAACUGAGGAACUGCAUCCGAUACUGUUUGUCUUGAGGACGAGAGGGGAGAGUGGAACUUCUGGUGGAGCGGUGAAAUGCGUAGAUAUCAGAAGGAACGCCGGUGGCGAAAGCGACUCUCUGGCUCGUAACUGACGCUGGAACGCGAAAGCUGGUAGCAAACG